rnacentral:piRNA from 1 species
UGGAAGAGAAGAUCCAAGUCAAGGAAGCAGC